ACAGAGUUACAGGUUUUCUAGUUAGUUACUAGUAAGUAUAAUACAGUAUAGUAUAGUAUCUUUCUUUAAGGUAGUUGUAAUGUAAUAUAGUAUCGUUUUAAUAAAUCGAGUGUUCAGCAUUCUGAAGCCUUGGAGUCAGAUGCCAGUCAUUCCCAGAUGCUGGGGUUGCCUGCAAUUACUAUAGGUGUGUAUUAGCAAAAUAAAUGUGAUAAAUGUAUUAAGAAUAAUGUCCUGUGUUUGUAACCCUAAGAUAAGGAAACUGCUAGUCAUGUAAGCCCCCUUGGGACUGUGACUUUAGAUAAGUGACCAAAACAAGGGUGGAUGACAAACUUGUAAACAUAUAAUAAUGAACUUGUAAAUGUAUAAUGACAAAUUUGCACAGGUAUAAAAAAAUCACUUAAAAAUUACCAUGGUGGACACACGCAUGGAGGUGUUAACCCCUACGUGCUCCAGGCCUGGCCAAUAAAGGUGUGCUUUACAGUACCUUACUGUGGAGUACAUUCCUUUGAAUCACCAGAUUCACAGGAGCUAAUCACUUGGAAUCUACUUGUCCUUGGGUGGGAUGGUUACUGAAAAAAUUUGCCGUUGCAUGUUGAUAGUGGGUCAAAAUAUCCCAACUCAGCCAGCCAAUAGGGCUGGAGUGAAAAAACAGCCAACCUGUGCAUCCAUCUGCACUUUGGUCUAGAAAACAGGAUGGUUUUGCUCUCCACUUUUGGGGUCCAUGAUAUUUUCAAUACCAGUUACACUGUGGUGUGACUGGAGGAGAGGCGCUCCCUUGACUUAAACUUGCCCCUGUUGGCUGCUCCAUAUACUUUCUUGCAGUGUGAACUGGAGACAAAGUCCUAAAAAAUGAAGCAGUAGCCUCAUUGGGCUGAUUUUGUCAACUUUAACAGGAAUCUGGACUUAUCAUCCCCCUGCAAAGCACCUUCCCUUUUCCUCCCACAGUGGAAUGAUUCAAAGUAGGCCCUGGUCCUCAGGGUUUUCAGGCUUUUCUGGAGGUGCUUUUGUUUGUGAAAGUCAGUUUCCGCCCAUUUUGCACCUUGUUUAAUGCAGGGAGAGGAAGUGGUGUGUCCUGGGCAAGCUUGGACUCACAGCGGGACCAUUCAGCCUCUGCCACUACACCUGCAGGGCUUUGUUUAAGGUGAAAGACUGAGAAGGAGUUCAGCAACAGCUUUCAGUGUGGAAAAAUGGCAACUGCUGGUGUAGGGGCUGGGCUGAGCUGAGCUGAGCCAGGCUGGUGUUCGCAUGUGGGGAAAUGAGUGUUUGAUAGUGUGUGGGGUUGGGCUGCAGGGUCUCUCUGGGGGCUCGGCCUCUGGUAUGGAGAAAAGGAGAAAGUGUGUUUGAUUUGCUGGAAAGCAGGUUGAGUAGAAAACUGUUACAAUGUGUUAAGAAUUUGAGCUCAUUUCUUUGACUUCCGAGUUUCUAUGAAAGGAGAUUUUUUUUUGCCCCUUCUUUUCCUCCCCCCACUGCCUUAUUUUCCCCCAGCCAUGCAGCUUUAAAAGGUUGAAAUUCUGUGUGCUAUAGCAAAUCCACUAUAAUAAACUGAGUUUGAGUUAUAUUCAAAUGAACUUCCUGAAUUUUCAGACAGAAUUUGAAGAUAAGGGGUCUGGAAAAGUCAAACACAUGGAUUCAGGCUGGAGGUGGUAUUUGGAGAGAGGAAAAGGCCAAUUUCUGAAUGGUCUUUGUUGGUUGAAAUGGAGCUGUAGUGAUUUGUACCCACUGAGGACUUGGCCUGAUGUGGUGAAAGGUGAGGAGAGACCUCCAUUCUCCCUGCACUUCCAGCCUGAGCCCUGUCCUGUGAACCGGAAUGGUAUUGUGAACAUGGCUGCCAGCUUCUGGAGGCAUUUUGCAGUUAUCUAGAAGUAACCUGCUUAAUGACAGCUGCUACCAGAUGGAUAUAGCUGUGCAUAUUGACAUGUAACAUACUGGACCUUAAAACCACUGGUCGAUCUUGCCAGACUUUCACAGAGGUCAGGUAAGGUAUCUGAAGAGGAAGAGUCAGCUGCUUCAUUUUUCAAGUUCAAGAACACUUAAGAUGCUGCAAAAAGACAGAACCAAUUAUCUAUCAAGCACUUGCAUAAUCCUAAAAUAUACCUCUCUGGAUUUAAAUACAGUAAAGUAGCAGUAUAUAAUCAUUUUCGGGAAAAGAGUUUUGAAGUCAAACUGCCUACAUUGAAGUAACUACCAGUCCUUGGAAGUUAGAGGAAAAUGUUGAGGUCUCAGAAAAUGCUGAUGAAAUUUUAUCACUGCAUGGGUGACUCAGACGUGUGUGAGGGAGAAUGAUGAGGAGGACUCCGUCUUAUCAGAAGGUCAUUUUAUCUUGAACAAUGUGUCUGGGACAUGGGUUCUUCUAGCUCCAUGCCUGCAGUUGAGGAGGAGAAGGGCGAUUUGUCUAGGUUCCAUGGAAAUGUAGUGAAAAAUGGGGCUGUGAUCUAAGUGCUCAUUCCCAGAAGUGCAGCCCUGGUGGAGGACAAGCAAGGGAUGUGCUAUGUUUCCUCAGAGGCACCAAAGCAUCAGCACCUUGCCAGAGCUCUCUGAGGGCUUCUCAGCUUCCCAGGAGAGAGAAAUCCUGGCAAAGGGAUUUUCCCAGAAAAUAUGACAGUGACAGAGGGGGAUAAAGGAGCUGGAAGAUAAUACCUGUACUUGGAGAGAAACCACUGCAGAAAGAGUAGAUAUUCUCAAGGCCAGCAGAUUAGCAUCCACAGGAAACAGCAUGUUUGCCAGGUAGUGUGGAAGGAUAGAGGGCUCGCCAGGGACCAGCUUGAUAAAGGGGCAACAUAACCUGGCAGUCACAUGUGUAACUCAUGCCAGGGACGUGAGUAACAGUGAUCCUGAUCCCUUCGAAGAGAACUCUAGUACAAAAAUCUCUCUAGCACAGGCUGGAUUAUUCCUCAUAGCCACUUCUCCAUCCUCCUGAACUGGCUGAAAUAUCAAGUAAAAUAACUACAUGCAGGAGGAUGCACAGAUUCCACAUGGAGACAAAACAAAGGACAGACCUUCAGGUGAAGUGGAAUGCAUGGAAAAAACAUGGAGCAUUGAAGGGGAGGCUGCCACAUCUCCACAAGCAACAGGAGGCAGGAAGAUGUGCUAGAAAAUGUCAGUCUGGUAAAACCAUUGUGAGGAGCAUGCCAGACCUCUGAGCAAAAAGAAUAACAAGAGCACAGUGGGGUCAAGUUAGUGACUAUACACACUUAAGGAGAUGACACCUGAAGGCUGCAGUUAGUGGAGGGGAGGUGAUGUCCGAGCUGGUAUGCAAAUGAGGAAGUCCCUCACCAAAUCUCACAAGGAAACCCCUAAAAACAAUGAGCCAACAUGGAAUUAAGAAAUUUAAGUGAUGUCUAAAGGUGAGGAACUUAAUCCCCUGUCUGCUAAGAUCGUUUUUACCACUCACCCUUACUUAAAAAAAAAAAGUCGACUAGGGGGACCUCGAAAAGGGACCUCGAAUGUCAGACUGAAAAGGUGGACUCUCCUAUUCUCUCAUGAGGAUGGAAGCCCCAGCUCUGCCUGCAGACCAGCGGACACAGCUGCAUCAUCCUCUUCCUCCGUGCCACUCCUGGGAGCAGCGGUGGCAUGGGCGCGACCCAUUGGUUCUCCCAACCUGAGCUGAUUUUUUUAAUAAAGGCAUUAAAAAGGAGAAAGAUCUCCUGCCCUAUUUAUUUCACCGGGCCCAGGAGCACUCUCAGGUUGGACCAGCUUGGCCAAGAUCUGACCACUGUUGAGAUUCAUUUUCAGCUAUCGGCCAGGGGGAGGAAAAGCCAUCAGCCCCCAGCGUGAUACUGCCGAGUUCUGACUGGCUGCUGAGACCUUAGCCGCUCCCCCUCCAGCAUGGCCACCAAAGAAAUUCUCCACCACAAACAGCAAUGACCACCACCCGGCAGGGAUCAUGUCCCUGCAGUGAUCACGUCCCUGAAGGGAUCACCAUCUGCAAGUCCCAUCUUAACUCUUUCAGUGCCCAAAUAAGCUUGUAAACCCUUCCUCCCUUGAGUGAGAGAAAAGGACAGAGUGAGAAGUAGAGGAACAACAUGAAGACACCAAUAUCAGUGAAAAAAAAGAGUAAAAUCUCAAAUGGGAAAGAUGAAGAGAUGCCUUAAUCUUAAGGCUGAAAUCCUUUUAUAAACCUAUAGAGAAACAUGUAAUUGAUACAUCAGACUCUUUUUCCCUAUAACUCAUUGAAAAAGUAUGGGGAGAUACUGUACAAAUUGUAAAUAUUAGCAAGACUUCCAUGCUAAAGUAAACAGAUGUUGUUUCAGAUGUAAACAGAUGUAUAAUCCCAUGAGAAGUCUGAACAGAAAGAGAGGGAAGAGUGAUGAAGACUCUCUGCCCAAGGGAAAGAUCUCUGUUCUCAAAGAUAAAGAUGAUCUCAGAAAUAGAUUAAGAGAACCUUUGCUCUUAUACAGUUCAUUUUUAAAAUAGUACUCCAUAAGUUAAUGUGGCCCAUAAACACAGCUGUGGGGAAAGCUGUAAAAAUGGGAAGGACUUCAUGAUUGCAGAUUUUCCAGGCAGCCUCUAUUUGUGAAAAUUGAAAGCAAUGAGAGAACUGUUUUCUUAUGGAGAAGUCUCCAUAAAUCGACAAGAGGGACUCUUCUCCCUAAGUGAACUGAAGACAAACCAUUCCAGAAGUGAUAAACUGACUGAAGUGUUUCUGUACAUUGUGAGUGGGAAGGAAAAGGUUGUAGGGGGGAGGAGAAGUGUUCUAAAGGUUUUAUUCUGAUUCUAAUUAUUCUUUCUUUUAGUACUGGUAAUAAAGCUUUCUUUAUACCCUUUUAAAGUUUUGAGUCUGUUUAACCUUUUUCUUAAACCUAUCUCACUGCAGAAAAUAUGUAAGUAUAUUGUAGUGAGUGCACUAUCAUUUAGCCAGCACUAGACCCACUACAUUAAUUAGUGCAUUAGCCAGGAAAUCUCUAAUUGGUGAACCAAAACCACUAUGCA